rnacentral:rRNA from 1 species
CGCGUAGGUGGCCCGUUAAGUGGUCGGUGAAAUCCCGGGGCUCAACUCCGGGGCUGCCGAUCAGACUGGCGAGCUAGAGCACGGUAGGGGCAGAUGGAAUUCCCGGUGUAGCGGUGGAAUGCGUAGAGAUCGGGAAGAAUACCAGUGGCGAAGGCGUUCUGCUGGGCCGUUGCUGACACUGAGGCGCGACAGCGUGGGAGCAAACA